rnacentral:misc_RNA from 1 species
GAUGAAGAACGCAGCGAAAUGCGAUACGUAAUGUGAAUUGCAAAUUCAGUGAAUCAUCGAGUCUUUGAACGCACAUUGCGCCCCCUGGUAUUCCGGGGGGCAUGCCUGCCCGAGCGUCAUUGCUGCCCUCAAGCACGGCUUGUGUGUUGGGCCCCGUCCUCCGAUCCCGGGGGACGGGCCCGAAAGGCAGCGGCGGCACCGCGUCCGGUCCUCGAGCGUAUGGGGCUUUGUCACCCGCUCUGUAGGCCCGGCCGGCGCUUGCCGAUCAACCCAAAUUUUUAUCCAGGUUGACCUCGGAUCAGGUAGGGAUACCCGCUGAACUUAAGCAUAUCAAUAAGCGGAGGA